UUAAAUAGAAGGGGGUAGUGGUCAUAAAUAAAUAACGGCGUCGCAAGAAAAUACGAUUCAGUCUAUCAUUUAGACGUUUUCUCGUAUUCUUCUAGUUUAAUUUAACAAUUUGAAUUGAAUAUUUUAUACAUUCGAACUGAUUGAAAAAUGUGCUUUAGUUGAUAAAAAAAAAAUCUCAGAAUUAAAAGAAAUAUAUUUCUUACAAUUGGUGUAAGUGAAUUUUGUAAAAAUGAGUGUAAAAAAAUUGAUAUUAAUUUUUUUAGCUAUUGUAAAUCAUGUAUCAAGCACUUGUGUUCAUGUUCCUAAUAAUGAUAUGAUUGAAUAUGCAUGUGAAAAUGGUAGUCCAUACGAUAUAUAUUCGAUUCCUGAACGAACUGAAAAGAUUCAAAUAAGAAACGUUGCUUUAGAACGUAUAACGAGCGAUACUUUUUCUCGAUUUGGGGACAAUCUUUGGGUACUAGCUUGUUCCCAUUGUCAAAUUGCUGAAAUUACUUCAGAUGCAUUUAAACAACUAAAAAAUCUUCAACAACUUCGUCUUGAUAAUAAUCAUCUACGUACUGUCAAAGCAUCUUGGUUUGAAGGAUUGAUGUAUUUAACAUAUCUCGAUCUCAACUAUAAUCAAAUAGAAACAAUUGAAAAUGGAGUAUUUGAUAAUUUACCAGGUUUAGUAGAUCUCCGAAUAGCUGGAAAUAAAAUAGAAUGUUUAAAUGUUGAUGAAAUGUCACGUUUGAAUGAUUUAAAAAGAAUAUUUUUAAACCAGAAUCCACAUUUAAAAUGUCCUAAUGCCAUUUCUGAGAUUUUAAGAGAAAAAGAUAUAGAUUUUGAGCGUGAUUUUGAGUGGGAACAAAUUAAAGAAGAUUUAAUAAAACCAACAUCAUCGUUGUCGCUAAAUCGUAAUGAUUGGAGAACACCAACUUAUUCGUCAACGCCAAUGUACCGUGAAAGAUUAAUAGUAUCUCACCCAGUCGAAACUACCACAGAAAUUUAUUCUUCAAACUCUAAAUAUUUACCAUCAAGUCAAGAUAAUUCACCGACAACUAAUGAUUACACAUCUGCUUCAUAUCCAAGCUAUGAAGUAUCCACUCAAGUUACUCACGAAUGGCCAAUUCAUGAGUCUUAUACCACAAGACCCACUGUUAAUGAACCAUAUUAUCAAACAAAUAAUUUUCCAGCAAUAGUCACUGAAAGUAGACCCAAUGAUUAUGUCUCUCCACUUCCAACAUCUCAAGAUUUAUACAAUGAACCAUAUUAUCCUUCACAACCAUCCAGGACAUCUUAUGAUCCUUACAAAGAUACUUUACCUGUAGUCGUACCAACUACAACUGCUAAAAUUUUCUGGUCAAAUUCAGAUGAAGUUUUUAAUGAAACUGAUAAUCCACCAAUAGAAACUAUACCACCUAGCUAUGCAGAGUCACCAGUUUAUGCAGAACCACCUAUUUAUGGAGAGCCAUCCGAUGGAUCACCUCUUCAUGAAGAAUUUGAUGACUAUCAAACUUCAAGACCACCUAUACAACAAGAGUAUCCAAACUCACAUCCUCUAGAAAAUUAUCAACAAGUUGAUGAAAAACCACCUGUUACUAUCUUCUCAACAGUUGUGACAACUACUGAUAAACCAUUACCAAAUUGUAACUCAUCAACAUCAAGUGGCAUUUCUGCUUUGAUAAUUUUUUUAAACAUUUUUUAUUACCUUACCAGAAUCUUCUAGUCGUGAGAAGAGAAAAAAAAAACCUGAUGGAAGGAGAAGAAAAGAAUGAAGGAGAAGAGGACAAGACUUGAUAUAUAUUUUGCAUAGCUUCAUAAAAACUCCAGUACCUUUUUAAUAACGAUUAAAUAAAAGCUAUUAACCAGUACCUGCAGAUAUUGAUUUAGUAGUCAACAUUACGUUCAUCACGGAAUAAAAAAUUACUUCAUCAUCAUCAGUGUUAUGUUUAUUGAAGAGAUGAAAAAAAUGAAGAUUAGUACAUUGAAAUGUUAAAUGAGAUUUACGGCUCAUUGAGAAUUGCUGGGCCAAGGAAGCUAAAGAAGCAGAACAAUUGUCGAAAAUGUUGAAGAUUGAAGAAGAUGAAAAACAAAAAUCAACAAAUGAUUUAGCACUGGCGAUUCAAAAUCGUAAUAGAGAACGAGCUGGUGAAGCUGAAAACU
rnacentral:misc_RNA from 1 species